AUUGAACGCUGGCGGCAGGCCUAACACAUGCAAGUCGAACGUGUGGCGGACGGGUGAGCAAUGUCUGGGAAACUGCCCGAUGGAGGGGGAUAACUACUUGAAACGGUAGCUAAUACCGCAUACCAUAGGAUGUGCCAACAUGGGAUUAGCUAGUAGGUGGGGUAACGGCUAACCAAGGCGACGAUCCCUAGCUGGUCUGAGAGGAUGACCAGCCACAUUGGAACUGAGACACGGUCCAGACUCCUACGGGAGGCAGUAGUGGGGAAUAUUGGACAAUGGGCGAAAGCCUGAUCCAGCCAUGCCGCGUGUGUGAAGAAGGUCUUCGGAUUGUAAAGCACUUUAAGUUGGGAGGCGUUAACAACAGAAUAAGCACCGGCUAACUUCGUGCCAGCAGCCGCGGUAAUAC
rnacentral:rRNA from 1 species